GAGACAGGCGUGCGUGCGCGCGCGUGAGCGUAAAGGCUACCGGCUGUGCGUCGGAUCAACCUGUGGAACAUCUGGGAUCAACACAGCGCAAGUGCUCUUGCAGAUAUCAUAGUAGUAUGCGCUUGCACAGGGAUUGGGAAUUUUUUUUGAUCAAAUCAGAGAGCUUUAGACUAGUAAUAACUUAGACUAGUACAGUGAAAUGUACUCCAGUAGUAAUGGUGUUAUGCAACACUUAUAUAGUGGGGAGUUUUGUCAACCCAACUUUCAGUCACCGCCAGAUAUGUUACUAGUCUAUAUUACUACCUAUAUAGUGGAGAUUAAUAGUAUCAUGCAGCAAUUUAUUUAUUGAGUUGUAGACUCAUCUUGUCUUUAGUGUGUGUGAUGUUUCUCAUAGUGUGAGUAAUGGAAGUAUCUAAGUAGCAAUUUUGAUAAGGCUGGUCGUAAUGGGAGUAUCAUAUGUAGUAUCAUGCAUGCCAACUAAGAAAUUUUGAUGAGGUGGCAUAUAAUUAAAUGAAGAAAGAGAUGCUUGAGUAUCAUAUUAAAUGAUGUGCUACUUUGUGUCAUGCAUGACAAUAAAUGUAGUCAUAUAUGAUACCAACAUAUGAUACCAUGCAUUACGGAUGUAGUAUCAUACACUAGUGAUACUAGUAUAUGAUACUCCCCAUUACAAGCAACCUAAGGUGACAUAGAAUUAAAUGAAGAAAGAGAGAGUUGAGUAUCAUAUUAUGAUACCGUAUCAUAACAAAUUUUAUGCUACUAUGUGUCAUGCAUGGCAAUAAAUGAAACCACCUAUAAUACUACUCUAUAAUACUAUGCACUACAAAUGUAGUAUUAUACACUAGUAUCACAUGCAUGAUACUAGUAUAUGAUACUCCCCAUUGUGACCAACCUAACGUACCAUGUUACCCACGCCCCUCUUUCCUAAUUACUUACUUACUACUUCAUCUAUUUUAUCUAGAUAUAUGUGAUGUUACCAUCUAUGUUACUUCCAGUAUGGGUAGUCUUAUUCAACAAAAGCGUUCCUCGGGCAAUCAACCAACAUGCUAGUUACCAGGAAACUGGGUGUUUUGUCAAGCCAACUUUCAGUCACAUUCAGAGUGCAAGCAUGCUUUGCACAAAGAUGCGCCGGUAAGUUAGCCGACAUGUUUACAUGCUGAAUCUCAAAUAAAUAAAAAUAAAAAACUAGCUCUCCUAUUUCUUCUAAGAUAGGGGCCACAAUUGAAUGGGAAUUGUGGCGAGUGUUCAAGAGUGUCACCAACUUCAGGCAAUCCACCUCCAUUAUCACAUGCGAGAAGCCUUGUAGUCUUGCAAAACGGACUCCUUCUGGCAUUGACAAGGCUUCAACGAUCAGUGAGUUUGAAAUACCCAUGAAUGUGGUUUGCACUAGGCUCCCAAGAGUGCCGCCAAGGAGCGUGGAAUGUCAUCUGCACCCCCUUCCAUAAGCAAAAUUGAGUGCCCCAUCGGUUGUGAUCUUGAUCAUCCCUAGUUCCGGUAGCCGCCAGCCAUGCCCGGGCAAAACCAUGGGCAAGUUUUGCGGUAGCUCAAGAAGGGCAAGGGCCUCCUUGGUAGCUCUGAGAGUCGUUGUCGGUCCCCUGGCUUCUUCUCCAUGCUUAAUGCGGUUGUGAGAGUGCCAGAUCGUCCGCAUAAUGGUGAUUAUCUUUGCUCGAUCUUCUUCUGCAAACCGAGUGUCACAUAAAAUAUCGCGAGCCCAAGAGUUCGGGUGUAGACGAGGUAAUCCGAUGCUGAACCAAGCACAAGCUUCCUCCCCGAAGCGUUGUGCAUGAGAACAAUGGAUGAGGGCGUGCAUGAGAUCCUCCUCCAUUGCUAAGCAAACAUUGCAUUUGUCAAUGACUGGAAUAUGACGGUGUUUUAGAGUGAACUCGUCAGGAAGAAUCGGUCGUAGUACCCUUCAUCAAAAAACACAAACUUUUGGGAUAACUUUGAGUUUCCACAGAGCAUUCCACAACUUUUGUUCAUCUCCAGGUGUCGAUAGCCGUCCCUUCUUCUAGAUCAUGCCGCUCGUUUUGAGUCACUAGAGCAUGAUAUGCCGAUUUAACAGUAUAGUUGCCUGAUCUCUCAAAGGACCAAGCAUAGAAGUCAUCACCACCCCCUCGCCUAAUGGGUAUAUUAAGGAUCGCCUCCGCGUUCGGGGUAAUGAAAGUUGAUCAAACUAGCUCCGGCCGCCACGACCAAUUGUCGGAAUCAGUGAGGUCCAAAACAUAUUGGAUAGUGGUGCUCGGUGGCUUCAUCAUAGGGGACAAAGAAAUUGUCCUAGGAAUCCACUUGUCUGCCCAAGCAUCGAUGGAAGUCCCGUGUCCCACUCUUUUAAUCAAGCCCACCUUCAGAGCUUCUGUGCCAGCUACGACCGCCCUCCAAGUUGUAGUAGCAGACUUAGGGACGAUUGCAUGCAUAAAAUCCAUGUCAAGGAGGUAGCGGCCCUUUAAAACUCUUGCACAUAGAGAAUUCAGAUUAGUUAAAAACCUUCACCCGUGCUUCCCAAGUAGUGCAAUAUUAAAUUGAUGGGGUUCUCGGAAGCCCAUGCCACAGAAAUAUUUAGCCAUAGGUAAAGUCAGACUCUUACAAACUUUCUUUGUGAGAAGAAAGGUACUCAUCGAGUACGUGGGAAUUGCCUGAACCAUUGACUUUAGUAAGGUUUCAUGUCCUGUACAUGACAGCAGCUUCUUAGACCACCCCUGCAUCUUGCCAUGGGCCCUCUCCCCGAUAUGAUCAAAGGUACCGCUUGUAAUACGACCAACAGCUCUGGGCAACCCCAAAUAACGUUUGUUGAACGCCUCCACUGAAAUGUUUAGGGUGUCUUUCAGAUGUUGCCUCAACUGAGCAGGUGUGUUUGAACUGAAGUAAACUGAAGUCUUAUUACGACUAACACACUCCUCGAAGCUUCUCCAUAAAUUCUAAGAAUCUCAUUCAGUCUUACAACACUCUGAUUUGUCACACUGAUGAAGAUGAAACUAUCAACUGAAAAUAGUUGGUGUGUGACCCAGGGUGACCUGCAACUGACCCUUAUACCUCUGUCAAUAUGCCUGCUAAUAUGAAACUUUAGCAGGGAAGAGAGGUCUUCUGCACAUAUCAAGAAUAGAUACAGCGACAUCGGAUCACCUUGCCUAAAUCCAUGAGAGGGUGUGAAAAAGGAAGUAAUUCUCCAUUGACUUGAAGAGAGAACCGCACUGAAGAUACACAUUUCAUGAUCAACCGAACAAAGACCAUGCUAAAACCUAGUCUUAUGAGAAUGACCUCCAAAAAAUGCCACUCUACUCUAUCGCAGGCCUUCAUCAUGUCUAGUUUGACAGCACAAGCGGAAUUCUUCCCUUUCUUCCGCCUUUUGAUAGUGUGCACACUUUCAUAUGCCAGACAUUGUUAGUUAACAUGCGUCCAGGAAUGAAUGCACUCCGUGUUGGAAAUAUGCCCUAGAGGCAAUAAUAAAAUGGUUAUUAUUAUAUUUCUUUGUUCAUGAUAAUUGUCUAUUGUUCAUGCUAUAAUUGUGUUAUCCGGAAAUCGUAAUACAUGUGUGAAUACAUAGACCACAACACGUCCCUAGUGAGCCUCUAGUUGACUAGCUCGUUGAUCAAAAGAUAGUCAUGGUUUCCUGACUAUGGACAUUGGAUGUCAUUGAUAACGGGAUCACAUCAUUAGGAGAAUGAUGUGAUGGACAAGACCCAAUCCUAAGCAUAGCUCAAAGAUCGUGUAGUUCGUUUGCUAUAGCUUUUCCGAUUGUGCAACUUCCGGAUACCGUAGGAGUGCUUUGGGUGUGCCAAACGUCACAGCAUAACUGGGUGACUAUAAAGGUACACUACAGGUAUCUCUGAAAGUGUCUGUUGGGUUGGCACGAAUCGAGACUGGGAUUUGUCACUCCGUAUGACGGAGAGGUAUCUCUGGGCCCACUCGGUAAUGCAUCAUCAUAAUCAGCUCAAUGUGACCAAGUGGUUGAUCACGGGAUCAUGCAUUACGGUACGAGUAAAGUGACUUGCCGGUAACGAGAUUGAACGAGGUAUUGGGAUACCGACGAUCGAGUCUCGGGCAAGUAACGUACUGAUUGACAAAGGGAAUUGUAUACGGGAUUGAUUGAAUCCUCGACAUCGUGGUUCAUCCGAUGAGAUCAUCGAGGAGCAUGUGGGAGCCAACAUGGGUAUCCAGAUCCCGCUGUUGGUUAUUGACCGGAGAGUCGUCUCGAUCAUGUCUGCGUGUCUCCCGAACCCGUAGGGUCUACACACUUAAGGUUCGGUGACACUAGGGUUGUUGAGAUAUUAGUAUAUGGUAACCCAAAAGUUGUUCGGAGUCCCGGAUGAGAUCCCGGACGUCACGAGGAGUUCCGGAAUGGUCCGGAGGUGAAGAUUUAUAUAUAGGAAGUCAAGUUUCGGCCAUACGGGGGUAAUCGGUAUUGUACCGGGACAACCGGAAGGGUCCCGGGGGUCCACUGGAUGGGGCCACCUAUCCCGGAGGGCCCCAUGGGCUGAAGUGGGAGGGGAACCAGCCCCUAGUGGGCUGGUGCGUCCCCCUUGGGCCUCCCCCUGCGCCUAGUGUUGGAAACCCUAGGGGUGGGGGCGCCCCACUUGGCUUGGGGGGCACUCCACCCCCCUUGUCCGCCGCCCCCCUUAGAGAUUGCAUCUCCUAGGGUCGGCGCCCCCCUUGGGGUCCUAUAUAUAGUGGGAGGGAGGGAGGGCAGCCGCACCCUAGCCCCUGGCGCCUCCCUCUCCCUCCCGUGACACUUCUCCUUCUCCCUGAGCUUGGUGAAGCCAUGCCGGGUUGCUUCCACCACCACGCCGUCGUGCUGCUGGAUCUCCUUCAAUCUCUCCUGCCCCCUUGGUGGAUCAAGAAGGAGGAGACGUCUUCCCAACCGUACGUGUGUUGAACACGGAGGUGCCGUCCGUUCGGCGCUAGGUCAUCGGUGAUUUGGAUCACGACGAGUACGACUCCAUCAACCUCGUCCUCUUGAACGCUUCCGCUCGCGAUUUACAAGGGUAUGUAGAUGCACUCCCCUUUCCCUUGUUGCUAGAUAACUCCAUAGAUUUAUCUUGGUGAUGCGUAGAAAAUUUUAAAUUCUGCUACGUUCCCCAACAAUGGCAUCAUGAGCUAGGUCUAUGCGUAGUUUCUAUGCACGAGUAGAACAUAAAGCAGUUGUGGGCGUCGAUAUUGUCAAUUUACUUGCCGUUACUAGUAUUAUCUUGAUUCAGCGGCAUUGUGGGAUGAAGCGGCCCGGACCGACCUUACACGUACGCUUACGUGAGACUGGUUUCACCAACUGACAUGCACUAGUUGCAUAAGGUGGCUAGCGGGUGUCUGUCUCUCCCACUUUAGUCAGAUCAGAUUCGAUGAAAAGGGUCCUUAUGAAGCGUAAAUAGAAAUUGGAAUAUCACGUUGUGGUUUUGGUGUAGGUAAGAAACGUUCUUGCUAGAAACCUAUAGCAGCCACGUAAAAAACUUGUAACAACAAUUAGAGGAUGUCUAACUUGUUUUUGCAGCAUGUGCCGUGUGAUGUGAUAUGGCCAAAAGGAUGUGAUGAAUUAUAUAUGUGAUGUAUGAGAUUGAUCAUGUUCUUGUAAUAGGAAUCACGACUUGCAUGUCGAUGAGUAUGACAACCGGCAGGAGCCAUAGGAGUUGUCUUAAUUUAUUUAUGACCUGCGUGUCAACAUAAACGUCAUGUAAUUACUUUACUUUAUUGCUAAAGCGUUAGCCAUAGUAGUAGAAGUAAUAGAUGACGAGACAACUUUAAGAAGACACGAUGAUGGAGAUCAUGAUGAUGGAGAUCAUGGUGUCAUGCCGGUCACAACGAUGAUCAUGGAGCCCCGAAAAUGGAGAUGAAAAGGAGCAAAUGAUAUUGGCCAUAUCAUGUCACUAUUUGAUUGCAUGUGAUGUUUAUCAUGUUUUGCAUCUUAUUUUCUUAGAAUGACGGUAGCUUAAAUAAGAUGAUCCCUCGUAAUAAUUUUAAGAAGGUGUUCCCCCUAACUGUGCACCGUUGCGAAGGUUAGUUGUUUCGAAGCACCACGUGAUGAUCGGGUGUGAUAGAUUCUAACGUUCGAAUACAACGGGUGUAAGCCAGAUUUACACACGCAAUACACUUAGGUUGACUUGAUGAGCCUAGCAUGUACAGACAUGGCCUCGGAACACGGAAGACCGAAAGGUCAAGCAUGAGUCGUAUAGAAGAUACGAUCAACAUGAAGAUGUUCACCGAUGUUGACUAGUCCGUCUCACGUGAUGAUCGGACACGACCUAGUUGACUCAGAUCAUAUUUCACUUAGAUGACUAGAGGGAUGUUUAUCUGAGUGAGAGUUCAUUGAAUAAUUUGAUUAGAUGAACUUAAUUAUCAUGAACUUAGUCUAAAAUCUUUACAAUGUGUCUUGUAGAUCAAAUGGCCCAUGCUAAUGUUGCCCUCAACUUCAACGCGUUCCUAGAGAAAACCAAGCUGAAAGAUGAUGGCAGCAACUAUACGGACUGGGUCCGGAACCUGAGGAUCAUCCUCAUAGCUGCCAAGAAAGAUUAUGUCCUAGAAGCACCGCUAGGUGACGCACCCAUCCCAGAGAACCAAGACGUUAUGAACGCUUGGGAGUCACGUGCUGAUGAUUACUCCCUCGUUCAGUGCGGCAUGCUUUACAGCUUAGAACCGGGGCUCCAAAAGAGUUUUGAGCAACACGGAGCAUAUGAGAUGUUCGAAGAGCUGAAAAUGGUUUUCCAAGCUCAUGCCCAGGUUGAGAGAUAUGAAGUCUCCGACAAGUUCUUCAGUUGUAAGAUGGAGGAAAACAGUUCUGUCAGUGAGCACACACUCAAAAUGUCUGGGUUGCAUAACCGCUUGACUCAGCUGGGAGUUAAUCUCCCGAAUGACGCGGUCAUUGACAGAAUCCUUCAGUCGCUUCCACUGAGCUACAAGAGCUUUGUGAUGAACUUCAAUAUGCAGGUGAUGGAAAAGACCAUUCCUGAGGUAUAUUCAAUGCUGAAAUCAGCAGAGGUGGAGAUAAAAAAGGAACAUCAAGUGUUGAUGGUUAAUAAAACCACUAAGUUUAAGAAAGGCAAGGGUAAGAAGAACUUCAAGAAGGACGGCAAGGGAGUUGCCGUGCCCGGUAAGCAAGCUGCUGGGAAGAAGUCAAAGAAUGGACCCAAGCCUGAGACUGAUUGUUUUUAUUGCAAGGGAAGUGGUCACUGAAAGCGGAACUGCCCCAAAUACUUAGCGGACAAGAAGGCUGGCAACACUAAAGGUAUAUGUGAUAUACAUGUAAUUGAUGUGUACCUUACUAGUACUCGUAGUAGCUCCUGGGUAUUUGAUACCGGCGCGGUUGCUCACAUUUGUAACUCAAAGCAGGAGUUGCGGAAUAAGCGGAGACUGGCGAAGGACGAGGUGACGAUGCGCGUCGGGAAUGGUUCCAAGGUCGAUGUGAUCGCCGUCGGCACGCUGCCUCUACGUUUACCUACGGGAUUAGUUUAAACCUCAAUAAUUGUUAUUUAGUGCCAGCUUUGAGCAUGAACAUUGUAUCAGGAUCUCGUUUAAUUCGAGAUGGCUACUCAUUUAAAUCCAAGAAUUAUGCUUGUUCUAUUUAUAUGAGAGAUAUGUUUUAUGGUCAUGCUCCACUGGUGAAUGGUUUAUUCUUAAUGAAUCUCGAGCGUAAUGUUACACAUAUUCAUAGUGUGAAUACCAAAAGAUGUAAGGUUGAUAAUGAUAGUCCCACAUACUUGUGGCACUGCCGCCUUGGUCACAUAGGUGUCAAACGCAUGAAGAAGCUCCAUGCAGAUGGACUUUUGGAGUCUCUUGAUUACGAAUCAUUUGACACGUGCGAACCAUGCCUCAUGGGUAAAAUGACCAAGACUCCGUUCUCAGAAACAAUGGAGCGAGCAACCAACUUAUUGGAAAUCAUACAUACUGAUGUGUGCGGUCCAAUGAGUGUUGAGGCUCACGGUGGCUAUCGUUAUGUUCUCACCCUCACUGAUGACUUGAGUAGAUAUGGGUAUGUCUACUUAAUGAAACACAAGUAUGAGACCUUUGAAAAGUUCAAGGAAUUUCAGAGUGAGGUUGAGAAUCAACGUGACAGAAAAAUCAAGUUCUUGCGAUCAGGUCGUGGGGGAGAAUACUUGAGUCACGAACUUGGCACACACUUAAGGAAAUGUGGAAUAGUUUCACAACUCACGCCGCCUGGAACACCUCAGCGUAAUGGUGUGUCCGAACGUCGUAAUCGCACUCUAUUGGAUAUUGUGCAAUCUAUGAUGUCUCUUACCGAUCUACCGCUGUCAUUUUGGGGCUAUGCUUUAGAGACUGCCGCAUUCACUUUAAAUAGGGCUCCGUCGAAAUCCGUUGAGAUGACACCGUAUGAAUUAUGGUUUGGGAAGAAACCUAAGCCGUCGUUUCUAAAAGUUUGGGGAUGCGAUGCUUAUGUCAAGAAACUUCAACCUGAAAAGCUCGAACCCAAGUCGGAAAAAUGCGUCUUCAUAGGAUACCCUAAAGAAACUAUUGGGUAUACCUUCUACCUCAGAUCCGAAGGCAAGAUCUUUGUUGCCAAGAAUGGAUCCUUUCUAGAGAAAGAGUUUCUCUCGAAAGAAAUAAGUGGGAGGAAAGUAGAACUUGAUGAAGUACUACCUCUUGAACCGGAGAGUGGCGCAACUCAGAAAAAUGUUCCUGAGGUGCUUGCACCGACUAGAGAGGAAGUUAAUGAUGAUGAUCAUGAAACUUCAGAUCAAGUUGCUACUGAACUUCGUAGGUCCACAAGGACACAUUCCGCACCAGAGUGGUACGGCAACCCUGUCUUGGAAAUCAUGUUGUUAGACAAUGGUGAACCUUCAAACUAUGAAGAAGCGAUGGCGGGCCCGGAUUCCGACAAAUGGCUGGAAGCCAUGAAAUCCGAGAUAGGAUCCAUGUAUGAAAACGAAGUAUGGACUUUGACUGACUUGCCCGAUGAUCGGCGGGCCUAGAAAAUAAAUGGAUCUUUAAGAAGAGGACAGACGCGGAUGGUAAUGUAACCAUCUAUAAAGCUCGGCUUGUCACUAAGGGUUAUCGACAAGUUCAAGGGGUUGACUAUGAUGAGACUUUCUCACCCGUAGCGAAGCUGAAGUCCAUCCGAAUCAUGUUAGCAAUUGCCGCAUUCUAUGAUUAUGAGAUAUGGCAAAUGGACGUCAAAACGGCAUUCCUUAAUGGUUUCCUUAAGGAAGAAUUGUAUAUGAUGCAGCCGGAAGGUUUUGUCGAUCCUAAGAAUGCUGACAAGGUGUGCAAGCUCCAACGCUCGAUUUAUGGACUGGUGCAAGCAUCUCGGAGUUGGAACAUUCGUUUUGAUGAGAUGAUCAAAGCGUUUGGGUUUACGCAGACUUAUGGAGAAGUCUGCAUUUAUAAGAAAGUGAGUGGGAGCUAUGUAGCAUUUCUCAUAUUGUAUGUGGAUGACAUACUGUUGAUGGGAAAUGAUAUAGAAUUCUUGGAAAACAUAAAGGCCUAUUUGAACAAGUGUUUUUCAAUGAAGGAUCUUGGAGAAGCUGCUUACAUAUUAGGCAUCAAGAUCUAUAGAGAUAGAUCGAGACGUCUCAUUGGUCUUUCACGGAGUACGUACCUUGAUAAGAUAUUGAAGAAGUUCAAUAUGGAUCAGUCAAAGAAGGGGUUCUUGCCUGUAUUGCAAGGUACGAGAUUGAGCACGACUCAAUGCCCGACCACGGCAGAAGAUAGAGAAAAGAUGAGUGUCGUCCCCUAUGCCUCGGCCAUAGGGUCUAUCAUGUAUGCUAUGCUGUGUACCAGACCUGAUGUAAACCUUGCCGUAACUUUGGUAGGAAGGUACCAAAGUAAUCCCGGCAUGGAACACUAGACAACGGUCAAGAAUAUCUUGAAGUACCUGAAGAGGACUAAGGAUAUGUUUCUCGUUUAUGGAGGUGACGAAGAGCUUGUCAUAAAGGGUUAUGUCGAUGCUAGCUUCGCACAAAUCUGGAUGACUCUAAGUCACAAACCAGAUACAUGUAUAUUUUGAAUGGUGGGGCAGUAAGCUGGUGCAGUUGCAAGCAAAGCGUUGUGGCGGGAUCUACAUGUGAAGCGGAGUACAUGGCAGCCUUGGAGGCAGCACAAGAAGCAAUCUGGGUGAAGGAGUUCAUUACCGACCUAGGAGUCAUACCCAAUGCGUCGGGCCCGAUGACUCUCUUCUCUGACAACACUAGAGCUAUUGCCCUUGCCAAGGAGCCCAGGUUUCACAGGAAGACCAGGCAUAUCAAGCGUCACUUCAACUCCAUUCAUGGAAGUGUUCAAAAUGGAGACAUAGAUAUUUGUAAAGUACAUACGGACUUGAAUGUGGCAGAUCCGUUGACUAAACCUCUCCCUAGAGCAAAACAUGAUCAACACCAGGACUCUAUGGGUGUUCGAUUCAUCACAAUGUAACUAGACUAUUGACUCUAGUGCAAGUGGGAGACUGUUGGAAAUAUGCCCUAGAGGCAAUAAUAAAAUGGUUAUUAUUAUAUUUCUUUGUUCAUGAUAAUUGUCUAUUGUUCAUGCUAUAAUUGUGUUAUCCGGAAAUCGUAAUACAUGUGUGAAUACAUAGACCACAACACGUCCCUAGUGAGCCUCUAGUUGACUAGCUCGUUGAUCAAAAGAUAGUCAUGGUUUCCUGACUAUGGACAUUGGAUGUCAUUGAUAACGGGAUCACAUCAUUAGGAGAAUGAUGUGAUGGACAAGACCCAAUCCUAAGCAUAGCUCAAAUAUCGUGUAGUUCGUUUGCUAUAGCUUUUCUGAAUGUCAAGUAUCAUUUCCUUAGACCAUGAGAUUGUGAAACUUCCGGAUACCGUAGGAGUGCUUUGGGUGUGCCAAACAUCACAACGUAACUGGGUGACUAUAAAGGUACACUACGGGUAUCUCCGAAAGUGUCUGUUGGGUUGGCACGAAUCGAGACUGGGAUUUGUCACUCCGUAUGACGGAGAGGUAUCUCUGGGCCCACUCGGUAAUGCAUCAUCAUAAUGAGCUCAAUGUGACCAAGUGGUUGAUCACGGGAUCAUGCAUUACGGUACGAGUAAAGUGACUUGCCGGUAACGAGAUUGAACGAGGUAUUGGGAUACCGACGAUCGAGUCUCGGGCAAGUAACGUACCGAUUGACAAAGGGAAUUGUAUACGGGAUUGAUUGAAUCCUCGACAUCGUGGUUCAUCCGAUGAGAUCAUCGAGGAGCAUGUGGGAGCCAACAUGGGUAUCCAGAUCCCGCUGUUGGUUAUUGACCGGAGAGUCGUCUCGGUCAUGUCUGCGUGUCUCUCGAACCCGUAGGGUCUACACAUUUAAGGUUCGAUGACGCUAGGGUUGUUGAGAUAUUAGUAUACGGUAACCCGAAAGUUGUUUGGAGUCCCGGAUGAGAUCCCGUAUGUCACGAGGAGUUCCAGAAUGGUCCGAAGGUGAAGAUUUAUAUAUAGGAAGUCAAGUUUCGGCCAUCGGGAAAGUUUUGGGGGUAAUCGAUAUUGUACCGGGACCACCGGAAGGGUCCCGGGGGUCCACUAGGUGGGGCCACCUAUCCCGGAGGGCCCCAUGGGCUGAAGUGGGAGGGGAACCAGCCCCUAGUGGGCUGGUGCGCCCCCCUUGGGCCUCCCCCCCACGCCUAGGGUUGGAAACCCUAGGGGUGGGGGCGCCCCACUUGGCUUGGGGGGCACUCCACCCCCGUUGGCCGCCGCCCUCCUUGGAGAUUGCAUCUCCUAGGGCCGGCGCCCCCCCUUGGGGUCCUAUAUAUAGUGGGGGGGGAGGGAGGGCAGCCGCACCCUAGCCCCUGGCGCCUCCCUCUCCCUCCCGUGACACUUCUCCCUCUCCCUGAGCUUGGCGAAGCCCUGCCGAGAUCACUGUUGCUUCCACCACCACGCCGUCGUGUUGCUGGAUCUCCUUCAACCUCUCCUGCCCCCUUGCUGGAUCAAGAAGGAGGAGACGUCUUCCCAACCGUACGUGUGUUGAACGCGGAGGUGCCGUCCGUUUGGCGCUAGGUCAUCGGUGAUUUGGAUCACGAUGAGUACGACUCCAUCAACCCCGUUCUCUUGAACGCUUCCGCUCGCGAUCUACAAGGGUAUGUAGAUGCACUCCCCUUUCCCUCAUUGCUAGAUAAAUCCAUAGAUUGAUCUUGGUGAUGCGUAGAAAAUUUUAAAUUCUGCUAUGUUCCCCAACAGUCCGCUCUUAACUAACAACCACAUCCAUAAUUGUUCUCAUCCAAUUGGUAAUACAUUUGGCUGCAAUUUUUGUACAAGACCGAACAAAGAGCUAUGGGGCGAUACUGUGAAAUAGACUCGGGGUGUCGUACCUUAGGUAUCUAGGUCAUGGAAGUAUCAUUCAGUCAUGACUCAUGAUGGUAGUUCACCUCCAUUCAAGAAAUCCAGCACUGCUCGGGUAACAUCCUCACCAAUUAAACUCCAGUGUCGUUGAUAGAAUCCCGCAGUAAAACCGUCUACCCAUGGUACUUUAGAAGGAGCCAUUUGAAAUAAUGUUGCACGCACCUCGACCGCAGUAUAUGGUUUUCUAAGUUCCAUGUUCAUAUCAAAAGAUACAUUAACUGGAACGUGGUUAAGAAGUUUGGUUGCAUCCAAGAAACCUUGAGAUUCGUAUAGGUUCUGAUACAAUGCUUGGACCUCACUCUUAUCCUCAGCUUCAUCAGCACAAACAGAACCGUCCUGCCAAUGCAACCCUUGAAUUUUGUUCAUUCGCUGCCUUUGCGCCGCUUGUGCCUGGAAGUACAGUGUUGCGGUCACCAUCGCGUAACCACCGCACUCGAGAAUGUUGCCACAACCAAGUUUCCUCCUGGGUGAAGGGCUUUCCCGCAACUUACAUACAAUAGCUUGUUCUUCCUCUGUCGGUCCACGAUCAGCCAAGCGACAUCUGAGCUUGUCUAGCUUCUUCGGCAAUUGUCUAACCCUACUAGUUAGACAUCCAAAUUCCCAGGACCCCCAUGGCUCUAGUGUUCGCUUCAACAGAUCAAGAUAUUCAAUGGUGCUUUGGAGCCCCAGGCCUCAGUUAGCUUGCUGUCAUGUUCUCGUGACAUGCUGAUCAUAAUCCACAUGCGAAGCCCAUAUAUUCUUGUAUGAACUAUUUCUUUGUUCUCGAUAUAUUUGCUAUAUUCUCUUUUAUUUUUGCUACAACAAAACAAUGGUCAGUAUCUAUCGAGGGUAGAUGCCUAACUCUAAUAUGCUAAAAGUGUUGUCGGAACUCCUCAUUGGCAAAAGCUCUAUCAAGCCUUGCCUUGACAUUUGCUUCACCUGGCCGACGAUUGUCCCAAGUGUAAGUUGUAUCCGACCAUCCCAAAUCUUGGAAUUCCACCUGAUCGAUGACUUCUCUGAAAGCUCUCAUCUGGCUCUGUGGCCUCGUUGAUAUGCUGAAAUGCUCACAUGCAUAGAGAGUUUUAUUAAAAUCACCCACACGCAUCCAAGCCAAAUGCGGCAAGGCAUGCCGUGUACGCAAAAAAUGCCAACUAUGAUGUCGAUCCUCGGCUCUAGGCGCUCCAUAAAAACAUGUGAACCUCCACUCAAAAGAGUUUUGAUCCUUGUAUUUCACCAUCACAUCUAUGUGUCCAGAACUAAAAUUCUUUAACUUUAAAAUUACAUCUCUAGUCCAAAGAAGGCCUAUGCCACCACUUAGGCAAAUACUGUCAACAACAAAACAUCCGUCGAAGCCUAGGUGGUUAUGCAAAUCUUGAACUCUCUUCCCUUUAAUUCUUGUUUCCAUGAUGAAGAGAAGAGUGGGUCCUUCUAGCUUCACAAUGUUGCGAAGCUCUUGAACUGCCUCGGGGUUCCGAAGCCCCCGGCAGUUCCAACUGAGGCAACUCAUUUUGCCGGGUAGGACCGAUCAACAGUCUUGGCCGGAUUUUAUGGUGUAGGCCUCUUUUUCUCGGGAUCUUUAUUAUAAUCAUUGUCAUCGUCCUGCGUUUGAAGUUGGAUCCUCUAGAGCAUCAGUGCUCAUCGCAGCCGUAAGCAACCACUGCUUCGGCUUAUACACAACUGUUGGGGCAUCCUUCCUCUUGUUGCGUGACCUAGCCUUAUUUUUAACUGGCAAGACCACUUCUUCCUCACCAUCAGGUUUGUUCUUGGUGCUCGAGUUCCUCAUUCUCUGUUUGCUACUAGGAUCCGAGCUUUGUCCCCUGGAUGAAUUUUCAUUGGUCGCUGGUUUCUUGUAAUCCCUAGGAGCUCACAAUUUCGGACCAAAAGGCAAUUCACCCUUCUCAACCCCGGUACUCGGGGUUUGACAGUACAGUUCAGAGUGGCCCGAGGCGCCCACACGAGAAACAUAAAUAGGGGAUCUGUUCGUAUUGAAUAUCGCAUGAGUCCACCCUCUUCCUCCUCGCUAAAUCAAUGAGGACCCAUCUUUGAAGCAGCUUAUCAACCUCAACUAUAACCCUAGCUCGAAGAUAACCUCCAUUAUGGUCAAACUUUGCAUUUUUUGCUCCCUUAUCAAUCAUCUGAGCGAUCGGUAAGGACCAUGCAUCAUCCCUCAAAUUGCAGGGCAGUUUGAGGACCCUAGCCCACACCUGGAGCCGGUCAAAUUUGACUUCAUCUGGGCGCAGGGACGGUCCUGAUAUUUCGGGGCCCAGGGCGAAAUUACAACCCGGGGCCCCUACUAUAAAGAUCAAAAUAAUAAUCUCAUUUCUUUUUAGAUUCAUUCCUUUACCUAACUUAUUAUUGUCUAUUGUUCCAAAAUAAAACGAAAAUUGUAAAUAGUGUAUUCCUUUACUUAAUUAGACAAAUCGAAUACCUGAUAGAGGGCAAACAUCAAGAUGAAAGGUUUAAAGUUUAAAACGCUUCAUUUGAAAUAAUAGAAGAUCAUUUACGUACCCGACGGCUACGGGAGUCUGAGUGGCUUUAUUAUAUAACCAUGUUUGGAUUGAAGUUAUGUGUGUAUAGCUGAGACCUUCUUCCAUUUUUAAGUUAAAUUUGCAGUCAUGAUAAUUUGGAGAGGGAAUGCAAAGAACGACAAUCGAACACAUAGCAGGCAACUUUUUCAAUAGAUAAGGCGAUUGGUGUUGUGUCGACAAAGUCCAGAUUGAAGUAAGAAAUAGAGCAACGGGCACACGAAAUUAAAAUUUUAUACUGCAUCAUAUACGAGACCUUCUAAGAUCUGACUGCUGCUGCACCAUAUGAACGUGACCAACUAGAAAGAGGAGGUUAGGGAUUACCUUAUAAGUGGGGUGGCUUCGUCUUGCACAUGAGAGGCAUCUUACGAACGGGGGAUAACACAAUGGGACCGGGGACCUGGAGGAAGACCAGCCGGCCGCAUGGCGGAGAGCGAUCUACAUCAGCAUCGCGACUCGCGAUCGGGGCCCUCGGGGGAAUAGGAUCGUCGCGAAGCGGCAAACUCGCGAUGGGAAGAAGGAAAACAGGGAUUUUUCCGUGCGUCUAGGUCGAUGCCUCCUUAUGGUCUGGGCCAUGGGCUCCUUGCAAACCCUGGAGGGGCCCCCUAGAUUUCGGGGGCCCUGGGCGGCCGCCCCCCUGCCACCCCCUCAGGGCCGGCCCUGUCUGGGCGCAUGCAGUCAUCGAACUUGGCCAAGACUACCGCGUCCUUGUUAAUAUGCCACCGCAAUCCGGCCCAAACUCUAUCUCGAUCUCUCUGAGUCUCAAACUCUGGUAUGAACAUGUCGUCCCUAUCGAGCGAAACCGGAGUCCCCUCGGAUUUCCCCAAGCCGGCCGAAGUGCGUUGCCAAUGGUCUGGAUGUGGUAGUGAUUGCGAUUGAGGAUCUUGGGUGCCAGGAGCCACUUCACUGGACCUCCGUCAACGCGGUCGUCGAUCAUGACCGGAGUAGCUUCUUCCUCGAAGAUGUCCAGCUUCCCCAAUGCUUCCUCAAGCUGUGACCUAGCUGAUCUAGGGUUGCUGGUGCUCGUGUUCCCGUGCGCGCCAUCAGACGAGGAGGAUGUCGCAAUCGUCCGCGCCGACGUGCUUUUGGCAGCCCGCCGAUGGGAUCCGCGGCCGCACAUUGAUUCCACGUCGAACCCUAAGCCGCCGCAAGUGGAGCCCUUAGGUUUCGGGGAUAGGGUAAUUACAAGUUGAUGAGAUGACACGGAGUGUGAUAUACUACAAUCAUACGAUGUACCCGUGGAUUUGGAUCGCAUUCACCAGCUAUAGCUCGCUCGAUCACCACACAUUAUCGGCUCGAACCUCGAAGAAGAAGGGAAGACGACGGGCAAUUGAAUUGAAUCUAGGCCCAGACAGAGCAACCGAUCGAUAUGGCGGCCAAUUAGAAUAGGGAUCGGAGAAAAGGAUGGGCACAUCGUGGUCGCGUCGUACGUUUGCAUCGAUCUGCCUGUCGUAUGUCCUUGAACACAAGGACUGUUUAGUCAGCUGGACCACGUCUGCCGAUUAUAUAGCGCACAGUGUUGUGGAUUUCUGGUGGCUAGGCGUCCACAACCACAUGAAUAUGUGCAGGACAGGAGUUAAUUGCACAGAAGUACCACAAUUCAGGCAUCACAUGCAGAUUGGUACCACGAUUGCUAAUUUUUGCAUGUCAGUACCAACAUUGGUCCAAAUUUUUGCAAAUUGGACUAAAACGCGUAUUUAUACGUAUUGACGCCUGAUCCGACAGGUCGGGCCCACCCGUCAGGUGCCACGCUGGCCAAUCGGCGCGUGCCCGCGUGCUGACUAGGACGAGCCGGUGCGCUGCUGUCCUAACCGGCCCGGUCGCACCAGCUCCAGUCCGGCCGCACCAUUCCCCUCCCCCUCCUCCUCCUCGCUCGAACCCUAGUCCAUGGCGUCGGCGAUUCCGCCAGUCGGCGGCGAGGGCGUCCACGGCGGCGGCAGGGGCGUCCACGGUGUCGGAGAGAUGCCGUUCUGGCCUCCUAGCGGAACGGUUGGCGUCGACGGGGAUGGCGGCGAUGAGUCCAGCUCCGCGUACUCGACCGACGACGAGGAGUCGAUGUUACUCACCAUGGAGCAGCGUUUGCGGUUGGCGCAUCAGUGGGUGGCGAACCCUAGCAGCAGCCAUGAGUUGACGCAUGGACUUGGCGGCGUGCUGUAAGUACCCUUGUCCUACUCCUCUGAUUCAUCCAAUUGGGCAUUUUUAGGGUUUGUUCAUCUUCUGCUUUAUCUAGUUGGGGAUUAGGUUUUAUCCAAUUGAAGUGACUAGACUAACCUAGUAACAUAGUGUAUUGCACUCUCAAUUUAGUUCAAUUACUGUGGCUCUCCAAAUUGUUCUGUACUGUCUGGUACUGUAAUUUAAGCUGUUUUGUACUUUACUGUUGCUCUCCAAAAUUUGCUUUUGUGCUAAAUUAGUAAAUAAUAGACUUACAGGUUACUUUAAAUUGUAAUGUACUGUACUGUUGCUCUCCAAAUUAAGAGUAAUUAUAAUGAAUAAAUGAAAUUUAAUUUUUUCUGUAGUUUGGAUGAAGACAUUUGGCAAGUAAGGAUCCAUUUUGAUGCAAGAGAACCAUUGGAGAUGAAGCUGUGUGGUUCAGAUAUUACUUAUCUGAAUUUGGUUGCAGUGAUGGAAACCCAAGGAUUUAAUGCAUAUGAUUGUUUGUUUCACAUUGAAAAUCCAUCUUUAGGAGAGAAAGGGCUGGAUUUGGUAGACAGUCAUGCAGAAUUACAGAUGAUAAAGAGGAAGAUCCAGGACAAAUUGGUGCUUAAUUUGCUAGUCAGGGCUUGUCCACCCCCUGAUACUGAUUUUGAGAGGCAGCAUUUUGAAAAGCCAGACUUGUCCACUGUGGUGUACCAAGAGCCUGUUGUUUAUGAUCUGAGUGAGCCUCCUAUCUUAGCUGUUGAUCAGGAAGGAGUAGUCUUUGAGAGUCAAUGUAGCACACAUCACCCUGUUGCUCCUGCUGGUGUUUGCACACAAGAAAGCAGAAAUGCAACUAACAAGUUGAAAGCAGUUUUGGAAGAAGAAGAAGAGGGAUAUCAAGGAUUUGAGGCUUAUGAGGACAGUGAUUCCUCUGAUGAGGAUGGUCAAAUUGGAAGCUACCCUAAUUACAUGGUUGAUGAAGAAGAUGUAGAGGUGGAAGAGGGAAAGAGGCAGAGAGAGCUAGAAGUACAAGAGGAAGAAUCAGAUGAUGAUCAAUCAGAAGAGGAAGAAAUGCUGCAUUAUGAGGGUGACACUGAAGUUGAGGACCCAUUUGAGGUAGAGGAAGAUAGGACUUUUGAACAAGAAGAAGAAACUAUAGUUGAACCUGUAAAGAAGAAGCAGAAGCUGCCAGUUAGAAGAGGCCCAACCACUAGGUCACAUUGUAGUGAGCUACCAGAGGUUGAACCUGAUUUCAGACCAUCAUCAGAUGAAGAAGAGGAGGGGUUGUUGAGGGAGAGUGAUGAUGAUGGUUUUCAGCCACUCUCUUUUGUCCUACAAAAGAAAAGGAAGAGUAGGGCAAAGAAAAGGCCUCCUAGGAAGUGGUACAAUGAGAAAAUGGAGCAACCACAUGAGCAACUGUGUAUGAAGUUGUGUUUUAGGGAUCAGCAUCAAUUCAGAGAAGCUUUGUUGAAUUUGCACAUCACCCAGGCCAGGAAUUUCAGGUAUCACAGGAAUUCAGAUCAGAGGAUAAUUGUUGAGUGUACAGAUAAAAAAUGCCAGUUCUUAAUGGUGGCAGCAGUUAUAAAAGGGGAGAAAACAUUUGUAAUUAAGAAGAUGAGACUAGAGCAAACUUGCCCUAGUACCACUGAGACCACCAGGGUUAGUGCUAAGUGGCUAGCACAGAAAUAUGAGCAUCUCUUUAGAUCUGAUAUAACUACUGGUAUUUAGACUAUAAUUGAUGCAUGCAAUGAAAAAUAUGGUGUAGAUGUGCCCAAGUGCAUGGCAUAUAGGGCAAAGAACAUAGCUAUUGAUGCUGUGUUAGGAGAUCACAGGAAGCAAUAUCCUAGGCUUAAAGACUAUGCUCAGACUGUCAUGGACACAAACCCUGGGAGUAGAGUAAUAGUCACUACUGUUACUCCAGUACCUAAUGCAAAAAUACCCCACCCAGGCCCAAGAUUCCAUGCCAUGUUUUUUUGCCUUAAUGGAGCAAGGGAGGGGUUUCUCAAUGGGUGUAGGCCUUUCAUCGGUUAGUUCUUGAACCUUGUGUGAACCAUUUACAUAUUGUAGAGUACUCCAUAUUGUAUCUCACUUGGAAAUGUUGAUUAUGCAGGUGUUGAUGGAUGCUUCAUUAAGCUCACUACAGGUGCUCAACUACUUGCUGCCACUGGUAGAGAUGGCAACAACAACAUAUAUCCACUGGCAUUUGGCAUAGUUGGUCAAGAGGACACUCAGAGUUGGUGUUGGUUUCUACACCAACUGAAAAUUUGCCUAGGGGGAGAAGUGGGCAAGUUUGGAACUUAUACUAUAAUGUCAGAUAGACAAAAGGUAUGUGUUUGCAUAUUUCAUUCUGUUUUGAACAAGUGUUUGCAUUAGCUUAGAUUUUCAAAUUGUUUGUAGCUUAGACUUGUUAAAUUGUUUGUGUCAGGGGUUAUUGAAUGCAGUGAAUGUUGUGUUUCCAAGUUGCAACCAAAGAUUCCGCCUUAGACAUUUAUAUGCAAAUUUCCAAAAUGCUGGGUUUAGGGGUGAAGAUCUUAAGAAGUGCAUGGAUAAUGCUAGCUAUGCCUACAAUGAACACAAAUUUAAUAUUGCAAUGAAUGAUCUUAGAGCUGAAAGUGAGGAAGCUUGGGAGUGGCUUACUGCAAUACCAAAAAAAACAUGGGCAAGGCAUGCAUUUGACACAAACUCCAAGACUGACUUGGUAGUGAACAACUUGUCAGAGGUGUUCAACAAGUACAUUCUAGAUGUUAGGAGAAAACCUAUAAGGACAAUGUGUGAUGGGAUAAAAGAUAAGCAGAUGGUGAGGUGGCACAUGAAGAGAGAGAGUGUAAAGGAAGCAAGAUGGGAGAUAACACCUCAUUACAGUGAGAAGCUAGAGAUUGAGAAGGAGAGGGCCAGAUACUGCAAGCCAAUACAGGCAGGGGUCAACUUAUGGCAAGUUACAAGUGGGCAGCAAACACAUGCUGUCAACCUGGAACUUGAGACUUGUGGAUGCAGGAAGUGGGACCUUAGUGGCAUACCUUGCAACCAUGCCAUCUCUGCAAUAAACAAGGCUAAAAGGAAACCAGAGGAUUAUGUCAGCAAAUUCUUCAAGAAAGAUUUUUAUGCUGCAGCUUAUGAACCAAUGAUCUUUCCUGUGCCUGGUGAGCAUGAUUGGACAAGGACCCCUGGUCCAGACAUAGAACCACCUGCAUUCAAAAUCAAGAGUAAGAAGGAAAGAAAAGAGGAUCAAGGGCAAAUUUGAAGUACCAAAGCCAAAAGAAACUUCAAGAAUGGGGACCAUAACAUGUGGCAAUUGUGGUCUCCAAGGGCAUAGGUACACAAACUAUCUUAAACAGUUGAAGCCUGAGCUAGCUUUGAGGAAGAAUAAGCAUGUGGUAAUAAUUUUUCACCUUUAAAUAUACUAAUGUUUUCUUUCUUGUACAUUUCUUUCUAGCAUUAUUAACUGUUUCCUUUUCUUUGCAAGGCUAAUCCAAGUACCUCACAGCCAAGAGCUGCUGGUCCUUCUACUGCACCAACAGCAAGACAACCAAGACCUGCUGCUUCUGCUCCUACACCACCAUCAUCUGGAAGAAGAGGAGCUGGCAGAGGAGCUGGCAGAGGAGCUGGUGCUACUUCUACUACAACACCACCAUCUGGCAGAGGAAGAGGAGCUGGCAGAGGAAGAGGAGCUGCUACUUCUACUACAACACCACCAUCUGGAAGAGGAAGAGGAGCUGGCAGAGGAAGAGGAGCUGCUACUUCUACUACACCACCACCAUCUGGAAGAGGAGCUGGCAGAGGCAAAGGAAGAGCUGGAAGAGGUGCUCCAAUGCCAUUCAUUGCCCCAAGGCAAUAUGCUGACAUUCCUACUGAUGGCACACACACUGGAUGGAUGUCCUACUUCACUACUAGCAUGGGAGGUGGAGGAGCCAUGCAAUGUCAAAUAUUGUGGUGUUAUUUUGGUUAAACUUGAUGCUUGAGGUGGAGUACUGGUGGAGUACUCUAGUAAUGUUGAACUUGAUGCUUGUAAUGUUGAACUGGAUGGAUAUGUGGUUGAACUUUAGGUGAUUAUCUGAAUGUUGAACUUUAGUCGGUUAUCUGAACUUGCUACUGGAUGCUGGUAAUGAGAGUUGAUUGUGACAAAUCAGUACCACAUUUGCAGAUUAUUGUGACAAAUCAGUACCAAUUCUGCUGCUAGCUGUUGCAUGUCAGUACCAAUAUUGGGGCAUCACAUAACAUGCAGUACCACAUUUGGGGAUUCUGACAUGUGGGCCAUCCACCUUUCCUACUAUUAAAGUGUGACAGCACAAGAUCUCACAGGAGUGUGGGGACGAAACUAGGGUUCAUCCGCGCAGCCAAGGACAAAUCUCAGAGGCGAGGCGCUGACUGGGGCCGGCGGCGGAGAGAUGUCGUGGUCGUCCAGUGCCGGGUCCGCUCCCGGAUUUCGUCGAGCUGCAGGAAGGAGGGGGGAGGAGUCGCGCUCGCCGGUGCGCUACCGCGAGAACCCAAUGGCAUACGAGCCUCCGGUGAUGUGCCACUGUUCAACUCCGAGGAAGGCGCCAAGAUGGAUCUCCUGGAGCAGGCAGAACCCUGGUAGGAGGUACUACAGCUGCGUGGAUGCUAUGGUGAGUGCUGUUUUUUCCCUAAUUUUCUUCCUCUUUCUUCUGUGCAAUAAUUUUUGGCAGCAUGGUGAAUUUGCUUGUGUAUCUUAAUAGCACGGUGGCUGUGGAUUUGUGCAAUGGCAUGAUGAUCCAUUGCCCACAUUCUGGAGUGAGCUCAUUGGGGAUCUGCGUGAUGAAGUAUGGAGGCUUAAAGGUGCAACUGUUGCUAGAUCUGAAGAUCAAUUUCCAAUCCUGACUCCAAGUGAAGAUGAUGGCACAAGGAAGGCCAUGUUUCUGUCUCUGCAAACUCAACUCAGAGAGAAGAAUGCAGAGAUUGCAGGGAUUAGGGCCAAAUUUCACAAUGUGUUGUUUCUUUUCACUAUAUUUGUGCUUGGCUUAGUUGCAGGCAAGAUAUUAAGUUAGUUAGUUGCUUCAGUUGUAGCCAAGUUGUAAUGGAUCAAGUUGUAAUGGAUUAAGUUGUAAUGGAUCAAGUUGUAAUGGAUCAGUGAAGUUAUCUUCUGAUGCAAUGAGAUUUAGUGAGUCUUGUUCCUCUUUUAUUGCAAUGUACUGUCUGGUUUGCUGCAACAUUGUCAUAAUGUACAAUCUACAUAAUCAGCAUAACCAUAGCAAUACAUAACCAUACAUAAUAAGAAACUGAUCCAUACAUAGCAAUACAUAACCAUUGUUCACAAUACAUAGAGGAGUUCCACUUCAAAUGCAUAGUUUAUCCUUUUCUCACAAAAGGAUGAAUAGCAUAACUACUACAUACAUACACAGCCAUAGUUCACCAUUAGUACAAGCAUACAGUACACAACAUUAGUUCCUAGAUGCUAGGUCAUUACACAACCAUCAUUCCCAAAAGGUCAGCAAUGCCACUAAUCUCAUUUCAUCUUCUUCACUUCUCCAAGAUGGCUUGAAUCCCCCUGAACUUCUCCUUCAACUUUUCAUUCUGAAACUCUAACUGCCACUUCUCUUCAAUAUGCUUUUUAUUUCCCUUAAGCAGAUCAGCAACCUGAAGCUUCAACUCUAGCUUCUCUUGGGUGAGCUUCUCCUGACACUUAGUUAGCUCUGCAUUCUUCAGCUCCAAAUUCAUACUAGCUUCAGUAAGCACUUGCUUCUCUUUCAUUUUGUUCAACUUCAAGUUCUGAAUGACUGUUGCUUGAGCUCUUGUCAGGUUAAGCAGCACCUCAUACUUCUGAGUAAGUUGCUGGGUCUCUGCAUCUUUCUUUGCCAUCUUUGCCUUCAUAUCAUCAGUCAGUUCUUUUCUUACCUCCUGCUGAUAUGUAAUGGCAGACUGCAGAUGCCUGAAAUCCACCACCUUAUCUUCCUGGAAGUUCAUCAGCUCAUGCACAUCUUGGACUAGCUUGUCAUAGUUGGCCUCCAGCUUGUUCUUCUCUUCUGUCAGAUGGUGGAUAGUGAAAGAAUUCUCAAGAUUGUCAUUCACCCUAGCACUUUUGGCAUCUUCAAGCAUUGCCCAUAGCUUCAACAAUGCAUUCUGCAUUGUUGGGGGCCACUGGUGAUCAACCCAUUCAACAAAGCCACAAUUGCUACCUUCCUGCAAAAACAAUAACAACAACAAAACAGUUCAUACAACAAGUAAUUACACAAAAUCACUGCAGUUGCCAAAAAGAAUGUCUAAAUUUAGCAUCAGACCACUAAAUUUAACAAGAGGAGCAACCACUUGAGUAGCUGACUGACUAGGUUCAGCCAUUGUUCUAAUGCAAAAUAUACUCAUGCUUGACCUAAAUAAGCUACUCUAACCACUAUGAAUCAAAAUGUUGACACCAAGCAGAGUACUCCAGCAAACAGAGUUCAAUAUGGCACUGACCAAGUAAGAAAAAAAUCAGUAUGCCUACAAUCCUACAAUACAUACCGGCUGUGCACAUGCUAAAAACCUCCUGCCUGUGUCUGUUCCUUCAAAGGCAACAAGCCUCUCAGAUGCCAUGCCGUGCUUCUCACAUGGAGACAUCACAUCCAGCUCAAGCCCCUUGUAAUCUGGAUCUUCAAUGGUGAAAGGAACCUGCAGAAGCUCGCACAAAGACAAUGGCCAAAUCAAAACCUAGCGAAAUCAACCAAAUCAAGAAAUCCCAAAUAUGAAACCCUAACCCUAACCCUGUACUGACCUCGUUGAGACCGUCUGUGGAGGAAGAAUGCAUGUACGGGGGGCUAGAAUGGUCGUCGCUGCUUUCGUCCUCCAAAACCAUGGCGACGGCGGGGCGGUGCGGCGGCCGGCCGGCUGUCGGGACGCGGUCGGCGGCGAUGGAGGAAACGAGCGAGGAGGAGGAGGGGGGGGGGGAAUGGUGCGGCCGGGCUGGAGCUGGUGCGACCGGGCCGGUUAGGACAGCAGCGCACCGGCUCGUCCUAGUCAGCACGCGGGCACGCGCCGAUUGGCCAGCGUGGCACCUGACGGGUGGGCCCGACCUGUCGGAUCGGGCGUCAAUACGUAUAAAUACGCGUUUUAGUCCAAUUUGCAAAAAUUUGAACCAAUGUUGGUACUGACACGCAAAAAUUAGCAAUCGUGGUACCAAUCUGCAUGUAAUGCCUGAAUUAUGGUACUUCUGUGCAAUUAAGUCGCAGGACAGUGGCAAGAUCGGCGAGGCGCGCUGCGGUUUUCACCGGAGUGCGAUGCGCACCUGCUUUGCGUGAAAUGCUCGUGCCAAGUGCCCAGCGCUCCUGCUGGUGUGGUGGUAGGGCAGGCUAGCCUGCAGGCAGGAGACCGCAUGCUCAAACUUUCCGCCGGAGAACGCACGCGCCCGGCCGUCGGUGUCAGGUCGGUAACUAGUCGACACUGCUAGCCUUGUUCUGUUCGUGGGACUCUUUCUCUUGUCCAGUGUGCUGCGCGUGUCCGCGACAGGACCUGGAUCGCGCGCAGCGGCGCCGCCCGGGCCCCCGGCACGGCCCUACAGCGGCGGAUUGCUAGCCUAGCCAAGACAAGCCAAGCCACUGCGCCAGCACGGGCAAGGAGGGGCCGGUCGAGGGAGAGAGGGGGACCGAGGCAGGCUACGGUGUCCGCGCGUGCACGAGAGCCUCGUGCGAAAGCCAGCCGGAGCGCGCGCUCUGGGGGCGGGCGGUCGGGCCGGAUCCGCGCCCCGCGGCGGCCGGGGCACGUCAGCUGUAGCCUCGGAGCUGGGCAACGCGUGGACGCGGCUGUAGGGUUGGGUGCCUCGCCUACGUCCACAGGCGGGCAGGGGAUGCCGGCACGACUUGCUUUGUAGUAUAUGUCUAUGCCGCUACCCAGUAGGUGCCGACGGCGUGGCUACCGCUGCCGGCAGAGCGCCGCGCGUUUGGCUGGGCCGGCGAGUGGCGACAUGAUCGUACUACCUAAUACAUCUGGCAUGACCUCGAGUCCACCGUGUGCGCUCCAGUCCCACCUAGGUGCCCAGCCUACGUACGCCCACCCACUAAACGCCGGCCUUUUCAAGUCGACCAGGCCACCCGUAGCCUUUUACUCUUUCGCCGCUGUAGAAGUGCAUCUAGCCCCUAACAGCGUCUACAACCCAGCUUGUCUAAUUUGGGGCCUCUACGCCCCACAGACUCGGCCAGACGCGUCCGCGAUCAAUGAUUGGGCACACUCCAUUUGUCCUUGUCCUCGACCGCUCCCUGUAUAUCUGCAUCCAAAUCAAUAGAAAAACAUGUAAGCUACGUAAAUAAUCAUACAAAAGCAUAAAACACACACAUCAGACUUUGAUAGGGCAAACGGACAUGAGAGAGGGAUUGCAGCACCCGACCUCCACUGCUCUAUAUUUAUACAUUUUGAUAUUUGUGUUUUUGAAGUUUCAAAAAAAAUGUGAUUUUUUUUCAGGGAUACAUAUACACAUUCCGAAUACCCGUGGCAAGUUUCAGUAGAAAUCUUGUUUUGUUUUGGGCUAUAGAAGAAAACAAAAUUCUGGCAGCUUAUAGGAGAAACUGGAUGCCAUUUAUGUCAGAAAUUUCUCCUUUUUGUAUUUCUCAAAAUACAAAGUAUUUCUUUUUCAACUUUUACCGGGCUUAGGAAUGUGUGUAUGUAUUCACGUAUUUGAUUUAAGAUUCUUUUUAGCAACAUAAGUGUGUUUUUCAAAAAUUUCAAAUACCAAGGGCAAUGGAGCCCGGUAGCUGCGGGCACUUUUCGAAACCGACAUAGAAAAGUUCAUACAACUCGAUCCAAAAGAACCGCUAGAGUUCAUCACUUAACUAAAAUGCAAGAUUAAAAAGUAAUUAAACAUAGGAAGCUGAGCGGAGUUGAUCACUUCCUCGCUGGUCACUUCUACUUAGGCUCUCGGGAGCGACGGUUGUCCUCAGCAUAUGCCUUGAAGACGGAAGAAGCAUCGUCGUCCAUCGUGCUGCUGUCCGAGCAGGAGGAGGAACUGAUGAUCACCGCCAUGUGAUGAUCACCGCCAUGUGACAGGCAGUGCGGGCCUGCUCCCUUGCGACCCGUGCGACUCUCUCCGCCGCCCUUUGCCUUGGGGCACUAGUAGGCGCCGGUGCGCCGGCCGAAAGUUUCGGCCGGUCCGCUGCCCAGCGUUGGAUCCCACGUGUAUCAACGGCCUGAAUAGUCGCAAUUCCUCCUCGAAAGAAAAAAAGACAGCAACGCUUGGGUCAUCUCUUUCUUCGGUACACACGCUAGAAUAAAAAAGGGAAAGAUUCUCUGUGCUCGUUGGCCACCUCAUGCUCGCCUGCGCUCGCGGCCAUCCCCCACCGCCCGUGCUCUCCUCGGCUACACGCGCUCGCAGUCUUCCAUUGUCACUGUGUCACACCACUUUCGUUGGUCGCAAAAAACAUGGUCGCCAUCCUGGCAGCUUUUUUUGUUGUCACUCGUAGCAAAAUAGAGAGACGGUUGCAGCAAAAACAUUGUCACCGUCGCCAUAAGUUGAAGCUCGUCAUUGCAGGUCGCAAGAUUUCCGUCGCCAGAUACGCAAAAAUGAAUGUAUGUAGCCAAAAAACCACUGGUUGUAACAAAAAACAAACACGGUUGUAGCAAAAAAAAAUCAACGUCGUCGCUGUCGAGGCUACAACUACACCAUGAAAAAGGAUGUAGCAAAAAUCCUCGCCGAAUGUAGCAAAAAACUGCAACGGUUGCAGCUAAAAAUCUUGCAGCAAAUCAAUCUCAGAAGAAAAAUAAACCGGUGGUGGCCGUAGCCUUCACCAUAGCCGGUUGCAGCUAAGAUGGGUGCAGGAUCCAGCAUCCAGGCAUCGAGGUUGCGGCUCACGGCUGAGCCGGUUCCAGCAUCUUGCGUCGCCGAUUGUAGCACGACGUUGCCGUCAUUCCAGCACCGCCCCACGCCGGAUGCAGCUCUGGCCGAGCCGGUUGCAGCUCGAGGCCGAGCCGGUUCCAGCACCGCCCCACGCCAGAUGCAGCUCUGGCCGAGCCGGUUGCAGCUCGAGGCCGAGCCGGUUCCAGCACCGCCCCACGCCGGAUGCAGCUCUGGCCGAGCCGGUUGCAGCUCGAGACCGAGCCGGUUCCAGCAN
rnacentral:lncRNA from 1 species